rnacentral:misc_RNA from 1 species
GCUUGCCUUUGACAAUGCGGGGUGUGGUUCGUUUGAUAGUGUUGUGUCUUGCGGACGUGAGUGCGUGUGAGUGGUGAUUGGGAUGGUUGUGUUGUUUGGCUCCUUGCUCAUGGUUUUGGAACUUUCAGCAUGCAACAACCCUUCUCAUGCAUACCUCUUGCCCGUGGGCCUCGGUGUUCAAUGGUGGUUCUUGUGUUGCCUACCCAUUUCUCGGUAUUCGUGUGUCGCGAAGACCUGUUCCCUCCACACAUCCACCUUGUGGUGGUUGAUGGGUGAUUUGUAAUUUGAUGUGUGUUUUGUGUUAGUCGUGUGUUGUAUCGGCUCAUCUGGCCACAUGUGUAUAUUGUUCCCUUGGAUGCGGUGCAUGAGGUGAACGUGGGCUGUUGUUUAUGCCUCGUUUCGUCCCUAUGAUAUAACGGUUGCCUUUGAAAGACACUUUGCCGUAGUGCAGGGCCUGCUAUCCCAUUGGUGGUGGCUAUACUUGCAUGUCGUGCAUUGUCGUUAACGGAUGCUACCUGGUUGAUC